CUGAGCUAAAAGAUGAGGAAUCCUAGUCAUUGAUCAAGCAGCUUUGAACAUUAGUGGUCAAACAUGCAAAUCUACUUUUAAUCAAUAACAAGAAAGGAUCCUAUAUUCAAUGCAGGAAUCACAAGGCUGUUGAUUGCAUCUUCGUCCAGUAACAGAAGGAAGCAAAUGCAGAAAUCCACAGCUAAGCACUGGGCCAAGUUCCCAGAGUCCAGUUGAAGAGAGUGAGGACAAUAACAUGAUCAAAUGUAUCAAGUCCAGUUUGGAGAUAUCCACAAAAACAGCUGACCCGAGCUAGUGGGAGCUUGUUGACUCUGUACUGACAGCUGGGAAACCUGCAUAGGGCCAAAGUAGGCCUUCUGAAUGUAGGUGACAGUAGUGUAGUUUGGGUAGUCUGUGGGACCAAUGGCAGUGGGCCCAGGAUUUAUCCCUAGUGCUUUAGCUGGCUUUUUGGAGCUCAUUUUCUUUGGAGGGAUAACUUGCUCAGCAUAGAUAUAAUGGGGAGAGCCUUGGUCCUGCCUCAAAGUAAGGUGCCAGAAUUCAUUGACUCCCCAUGGGGAGGCUUACCCUCUCUGAGGAGUGGAUGG